GUUCCUGCAAACAGAGAAUAUAAAUGAUGAAGUAUUAUAUUACCCAGUUUUGCUCUCUGCAGCUAUCCAGCUGCUAGAAUAACCACAGGGAAGCUGGUUUAACCUGAACCUGACCCCAGGGGCUGGAGAAGGUGCCUGCAGUACCUCUUUGGACAAGGUGAGGUGAGUGCUCCCGAUCCGGCAUCCUGGCUCCGUGGCGACUCUGCAUCUCUGCCAGAGAGGUUCUGUGGAUAAUAAACAAGUCAAGGGCUCUGAAAACAGACUCCUGUCAACUGGUCAUGCAUUUAGUUCACAACUGCUGCUCAGAAACAGGACCUAAAAAUGCCCCUGCUUUGUGAGAUCAUGCCAGAGGUCUGCUGAAAUCAGGGUCAUGCAACUGACACCAGCAGCAGGAUUUGGGCAGCCACACACCUAGGGAUCUAGGGCACACUUCUCUGGAAAACUCCAAGGACUCUCAGCUCUUCAGGGAAAACUGAAAAUUUGCUUUAAGUAGAAAAGCAAGUUAUACCAUAAAAAGGACUCAGUGUACAGGCAAGAAAUGUCUGCAAAGUUAUUUGCCUUUCUACUGAGAUGCUCACAAAGACAAAGCUGGUCAACACCAGUACACAGAGUAACAGGACAGUGCAAAGGCAGUUCAGCCAAAGUCUGCUCUCACCGGCCAAGAUCUUCAAAGUUUUGCUGCUCUUUUAGUAGGUAUGCCAGCUGGACAGCCAACUGCUCCUUCUCCUCAUGGAUCUUCUCUCUUGCUGCCCUCUCAGCAUGGAAAUCAGAACAAUAAACCUCCAUCUGAUCAGAGAAAUGAAAUCAGGCUGAAAAUUUGUAACUUUGACUAAACCAUAUUUGUAUAUUACAUGUCAAAAUCACAAAUCUGUAUCAUAAUCUGCAUCUACUCAAAACACUGCAAAGCCAAGACCUGCACUUCUCCCAAAGUGAGCAAGGCCUAAUGCUUUGUGGACUCUGUAAAAGAUACUCUGAGUGUCUUAGCUGGGACACAGGUAUUGCCUCUGCUGUACAGAGGCAAAAAGGAGAAACACACAAGCAGUGAGGAGGUGACUUGACUGAUUAUACACACAAAUCUGUGGUUCAGUGGAACCAGGCCAAGAUGCCAGUUCUGUGCCUUAAAUGUGAGGCAAACCCUUUUUAGUCACUUAACACAUGCUGCUUUGAGUAAAAUAAUUCCUAAAACAUAUGCAGUGAUUCUUAAGCCAGUGGUUCUAAAUACACAUCUACUCCCAACUUCUGUUUGUUGUGCCAGACCCCAGCACACACAGUUCCUCCUACAGAGCCCUAGAACACAGUGGGUAGAGGCUCUGCAGGUGUCUGCAAGACAAGCCAAGUAAGGGGUGUUAUUCUUUGCAGUUGAGAAAACCUAUUCAGCAUUCCAGAGUGAGCCAUUAAAUACCUCCUGGUUCCUGAAUGCUGGGUGGGGGAAGCAGCCAGUUUGUGAAGAAGAGCUGAUACCUGAGCACGGAGUACAGACAUAGUUUCAAGGUCCUCCUCUUGCUUAGCAAUUAUCUGCUUCAUUUCAUCUAUCUGCAGCUGCUUUGCAGCAAGGGCUUGUUCUGCCAACUCCACCUUUGCUGUCAGUUGUUCCACCACAGCUUUAUCUACU